rnacentral:pre_miRNA from 1 species
AGUGGAAUUGCUGGGUCAGAUGGUAACUUCAUGACUUUUGGAGGAACCGCCAGACUGUUUUCCAAAGUGGCUGCACCAUUUUACAUUCCCACCAAUAAU